AUCAGAACAAUUAGUGCUAUUAGAAUCGUCAGUGUCGACAAUUCGUCAAUUAUUAAGAAAAAAAAAAAUAAUAAGAAGAAGGAAAGCAGAAUCCCGAGAAUUGUUUUAGCAGGUAAACCAAUACCUACGGAUCAUAAUGAAUCGUUGGGAAGGAAAAGUCGCGGUCGUGACUGGUUCCGCAUCCGGAAUCGGUAAAGCGAUUACGCGUGCUUUACUUGAAAGGAAGAUAAUCGUGGUUGGUUUGGAUAUUCAGAACGAGAAACAGAAAGAAAUGGCUAACAAUAGAGAGAAUGCGACGAAUGGAUAUUAUCCUCUUCAUUGCGACAUUACCAAUGAGGACGAGUUGGACGCUGUUUUUUUAUUUGUCAAAAAGAAAUUUACCGGAGUUGAUAUUAUGGUGAAUAAUGCCGGUGUUAUAGAUUUUCAACGCAUUAUUGAAAGCGACAGGAAGACAUUUGAAAGGCUGUUAAAUAUUAAUGUACUCGCAAUGGCUGUGUGUAUGAACCGUGCAGUACGCUCGAUGCGAGAGAGGAACGUCGAAGGGCAUGUUUUCAAUAUCAACAGUGUUUUAGGACAGAAACUAUUAAUACCUUUUUUAUCCGACGUCGAUGGCUUUAACGGAUGGAAUUUGUAUCCUGCUUCUAAACAUGCCGCAGUUGCAUUAACUCAUACAGUCAGAGAAGAAUUGUGUCUCCUUAAAGCAUCCAUUCGAGUUACAAGUAUUUGUCCAGGUAUCGUGAAAACUAAUCUAUCCAGUAAAUUCCCGGUCAUUAAAGAAUCAGUUGAUAAACUCUCGACACUUUUACCGGAAGACGUUGCCGAUGCUCUCAUUUAUGCACUUGGAACACGUCCCGAGGUUCAGAUUCUUAGAUAUAAGGAACGAACGGAGAGAAGAUCCAAUGAAUAAAUUAUGCUAGUUUGCUUAUGAAUAUUUGGGUAGUAAAAUUUGACUGGCAACGCGAUAGAUUUGAGGUAGUCCACGGUCGUUCAGGCAUGCAAGCGAGCUCGUGUAUGUCACGGCGUGCAAGUGAGGCGACGCAAGCCAGUGGUGAUGGUGUGGAGGACGAUGGGGGUUGCGGCACAAGAGGGUGGGAAGAGGAAGCGACGGUGAAUUUACGUGAAGCUAGCAACACUUUCCUUCUCGCAACGAAUAGCGAAACGAGAUAUCGAUCGGUUGUUACAAAGGAAGUAUACACGGAGAAAAUCAAAUUUUACGGUACUCCGUAAAUAGACUUUUAUGGAUUAGAUUUUUAUGAAGACGACGAUAUAACAUAGGUUAGAUCAUCCGAUUAUUACGAAUCUAAUAAUAACUUUGUUUUCAUUUU